UACACUCGCACGCACUUUGGUGCUCGUGUGCGCGCUCCUGCGCAUGCAGUUAAACGGGAAACAGGGCGCCCGCCUUCAAGGACCGGGUCAACCUGUGCUGCCCCCGCAACGGUAAGCGAAAUGCGGUACGUCACGUACCGCGGAGCCGGCUUCGAUGUCCACGCGCAAGGCCGCGUCGGCAUACAACCACUGGGCGAGAAAUCACUCGCACGGGAAGGGGAAGCGGCGCUUUCGCCAGCCCGGAUACCGGCCAGAGCACGCAGGACGAA
rnacentral:ncRNA from 2 species